GAGCGGGGACAAGAAGGAGCGUUGCUCCGAAUUGUUCUAGCGGCGGACGGGUGAGUAACGCGUGAGCAACCUGCCUCAAACAGGGGGAUAACGCAUCGAAAGAUGUGCUAAUACCGCGUAAGACCACAGCUUCACAUGGAGCGGGGGUCAAAGGAGAAAUCCGGUUUGAGAUGGGCUCGCGUCCGAUUAGCUAGUUGGUGAGAUAACAGCCCACCAAGGCGACGAUCGGUAGCCGACCUGAGAGGGUGAUCGGCCACAUUGGAACUGAGAAACGGUCCAGACUCCUACGGGAGGCAGCAGUGGGGAAUAUUGGGCAAUGGGCGAAAGCCUGACCCAGCAACGCCGCGUGAGGGAAGAAGGGUUUCGGCUCGUAAACCUCUGUCCUAUGGGACGAAGGAAGUGACGGUACCAUAGGAGGAGGCCCCGGCUAACUACGUGCCAGCAGCCGCGGUAAUACGUAGGGGGCGAGCGUUGUCCGGAAUGAUUGGGCGUAAAGGGCGCGUAGGCGGCCUGCUAAGUCUGGAGUGAAAGUCCUGCUUUCAAGGUGGGAAUUGCUUUGGAUACUGGGGGGCUGGAGUGCAGGAGAGGAAAGCGGAAUUACCGGUGUAGCGGUGAAAUGCGUAGAGAUCGGUAGGAACACCAGUGGCGAAGGCGGCUUUCUGGACUGUAACUGACGCUGAGGCGCGAAAGCGUGGGGAGCAAACAGGAUUAGAUACCCUGGUAGUCCACGCUGUAAACGAUGAAUGCUAGGUGUAGGAGGUAUCGACCCCUUCUGUGCCGCAGUC
rnacentral:rRNA from 1 species